AUGAACGCUGGCGGCGUGCUUAACCCAUGCAAGUCGCACGAUGAAGCCCAGCUUGCCGGGUGGAUUAGUGGCGAACGGGUGAGUAACACGUGAGUAACCUGCCCUUAACUCUGGGAUAAGCCUGGGAAACUGGGUCUAAUACCGGAUAGGAGCGUCCACCGCAUGGUGGGUGUUGGAAAGAUUUAUCGGUUUUGGAUGGACUCGCGGCCUAUCAGCUUGUUGGUGAGGUAAUGGCUCACCAAGGCGACGACGGGUAGCCGGCCUGAGAGGGUGACCGGCCACACUGGGACUGAGACACGGCCCAGACUCCUACGGGAGGCAGCAGUGGGGAAUAUUGCACAAUGGGCGCAAGCCUGAUGCAGCGACGCCGCGUGAGGGAUGACGGCCUUCGGGUUGUAAACCUCUUUCAGUAGGGAAGAAGCGAAAGUGACGGUACCUGCAGAAGAAGCACCGGCUAACUACGUG
rnacentral:rRNA from 1 species